UUAACGAUAAAAAAUGUGACACUUUUUAGAUAAAACUAAAAGAGGAAGCUUUUGGUUCAGUGACUACUGGGAAGUCUUCCUCAGACUCAGGCAUAUAUAACAAGAAGAGAAACCAAAUUGAUUUCUGGGUUAUCUAGAUUGAAGAGAAGAGAAGAUGGGGGGGAGCAGUGACCCCAAUCCGGAAGGAUCAGACGAGCAGCAAAAGCGAUCGGAGAUCUACACGUACGAGGCACCCUGGCACAUCUACGCCAUGAACUGGAGCGUCCGUCGCGACAAGAGGUACCGCCUCGCCAUAGCCAGCUUCCUUGAGCAGUACCCUAACCGCGUCGAUAUAGUCCAGCUGGACGACUCCACCGGUGAAAUUCGCUCCGACCCCAAUCUCUCCUUCGAGCACCCUUACCCGCCCACAAAGACCAUCUUCAUACCCGACAAGGAAUCUCAGAAGCCCGACCUCCUCGCCACCUCUAGCGACUUCCUCCGAGUCUGGCGCAUCUCCGACAACCGUGUACACCUUAAUACCAUCCUCAACGGCAACAAGAAUAGCGAGUUCUGCGGCCCUCUCACCUCCUUCGACUGGAACGAGGCCGAACCCAGGCGCAUUGGCACCUCCUCUAUCGACACCACUUGCACCAUCUGGGACAUAGAGCGCGAGACUGUCGAUACCCAGCUCAUCGCUCACGACAAGGAGGUCUACGAUAUCGCCUGGGGCGGCGUCGGCGUCUUCGCCUCUGUCUCUGCCGAUGGGUCUGUAAGGGUUUUUGAUCUCCGAGAUAAGGAACACUCCACCAUCAUCUACGAGAGUUCUGAGCCAGAUACAGCCCUGGUUCGCCUCGGCUGGAACAAGCAGGACCCCCGGUACAUGGCCACCAUCAUCAUGGACAGUGCCAAGGUCGUUAUUUUGGAUAUCCGCUUUCCUACACUUCCUGUGGUGGAGCUGCAGAGGCACCAGUCCAGCGUCAACGCCAUAGCCUGGGCUCCACAUAGCUCUUGUCACAUCUGCACUGCUGGCGAUGAUUCUCAGGCACUCAUCUGGGAUCUCUCCUCCAUGAGCCAGCCAGUAGAGGGCGGAUUGGAUCCUAUUCUGGCCUACACUGCAGGAGCUGAGGUUGAGCAGCUGCAAUGGUCCUCUUCACAGCCCGACUGGGUUGCCAUCGCCUUCUCCACCAAGCUUCAGAUUCUCAGAGUAUGACAUUUCUUGAUUAAUUUGGCAAAGUUAAGGACCCCUAAAGGCUAAAUCUAAUGGCAUUCAAUACAUCAGGUGGACCGUUCACAGUUGGUUGGAGGGGAGCUACACUGCAAUGUGAUAGCAAUGCAAUUGCAAGGAUAAGUUGGAGGCUGAAAGAUGGGUUUGAUAAGUAGAGCAAGGGUAGAAUGGGGCUCAGGCCCUUGCAUUAGACAGUAGAUCCCAUAUCCUACUCAACCGGCUUUAUUAUCAGAAUCCAUCCAACCUUUGUUGUGUAAUAUUUGUUAUAAUACUGCUUUCUGUAAUCCCUGAUCGGUGACCUUACAAGUACUUAAAACAUAAAAGGGAAAUACUAUUUUUGUGCCUUCACCUUUUUUUCUCAUCAUAAAAGUGUUAAUCCUAAACAUUUUGGCUUC